GCUUAACACAUGCAAGUCGAGGGGCAUCAGGAAGAAAGCUUGCUUUCUUUGCUGGCGACCGGCGCACGGGUGAGUAACACGUAUCCAACCUGCCCUUUACUCGGGGAUAGCCUUUCGAAAGAAAGAUUAAUACCCGAUAACAUAAUGAUUCCGCAUGGUUUCAUUAUUAAAGGAUUCCGGUAAAGGAUGGGGAUGCGUUCCAUUAGGUUGUUGGUGAGGUAACGGCCCACCAAGCCUUCGAUGGAUAGGGGUUCUGAGAGGAAGGUCCCCCACAUUGGAACUGAGACACGGUCCAAACUCCUACGGGAGGCAGCAGUGAGGAAUAUUGGUCAAUGGGCGCUAGCCUGAACCAGCCAAGUAGCGUGAAGGAUGAAGGCUCUAUGGGUCGUAAACUUCUUUUAUAUAAGAAUAAAGUGCAGUAUGUAUACUGUUUUGUAUGUAUUAUAUGAAUAAGGAUCGGCUAACUCCGUGCCAGCAGCCGCGGUAAUACGGAGGAUCCGAGCGUUAUCCGGAUUUAUUGGGUUUAAAGGGAGCGUAAGGUGGACUGGGAAGUCAGUUGUGAAAGUUUGGGGCUCAACCGUAAAAUUGCAGUUGAUACUGUCAGUCUUGAGUACAGUAGAGGUGGGCGGAAUUCGUGGUGUAGCGGUGAAAUGCUUAGAUAUCACGAAGAACUCCGAUUGCGAAGGCAGCUCACUGGACUGCAACUGACACUGAUGCUCGAAAGUGUGGGUAUCAAACAGGAUUAGAUACCCUGGUAGUCCACACAGUAAACGAUGAAUACUCGCUGUUUGCGAUAUACAGUAAGCGGCCAAGCGAAAGCAUUAAGUAUUCCACCUGGGGAGUACGCCGGCAACGGUGAAACUCAAAGGAAUUGACGGGGGCCCGCACAAGCGGAGGAACAUGUGGUUUAAUUCGAUGAUACGCGAGGAACCUUACCCGGGCUUAAAUUGCAGUGGAAUGAUGUGGAAACAUGUCAGUGAGCAAUCACCGCUGUGAAGGUGCUGCAUGGUUGUCGUCAGCUCGUGCCGUGAGGUGUCGGCUUAAGUGCCAUAACGAGCGCAACCCUUAUCUUUAGUUACUAACAGGUCAUGCUGAGGACUCUAGAGAGACUGCCGUCGUAAGAUGUGAGGAAGGUGGGGAUGACGUCAAAUCAGCACGGCCCUUACGUCCGGGGCUACACACGUGUUACAAUGGGGGGUACAGAAGGCAGCUAGCGGGUGACCGUAUGCUAAUCCCAAAAUCCUCUCUCAGUUCGGAUCGAAGUCUGCAACCCGACUUCGUGAAGCUGGAUUCGCUAGUAAUCGCGCAUCAGCCACGGCGCGGUGAAUACGUUCCCGGGCCUUGUACACACCGCCCGUCAAGCCAUGGGAGCCGGGGGUACCUGAAGUACGUAACCGCAAGGAUCGUCCUAGGGUAAAACUGGUGACUGGGGCUAAGU
rnacentral:rRNA from 1 species